rnacentral:rRNA from 1 species
UACGUAGGCAGCGAGCGUUGUUCGGAAUUACUGGGCGUAAAGGGCUCGUAGGCGGCCAACUAAGUCAGACGUGAAAUCCCUCAGCUAACUGGGAACUGCGUCUGAUACUGGAUGGCUUGAGUUCGGGAGAGGGAUGCGGAAUUCCAGGUGUAGCGGUAGAAAUGCGUAGAUAUCUGGAGGAACACCGGUGGCGAAGGCGGCAUCCUGGACCGACACUGACGCUGAGGAGCGAAAGCCAGGGA